rnacentral:rRNA from 1 species
CCAAUAGCGUAUAUUAAAGUUGUUGCAGUUAAAAAGCUCGUAGUUGAAUUUCGGGGUUAGUAGGUUGGUCAUGCCUCCGGUAUGUACUGGUCUCACUGAUUCCUCCUUCCUGAUGAACUGUAAUGCCAUUAAUUUGGUGUUGCGGGGAAUCUGGACUGUUACUUUGAAAAAAUUAGAGUGUUUAAAGCAAGCUAACGCUUGAAUACAUUAGCAUGGAAUAAUGAAAUAGGACGUUCGAUCCUAUUUUGUUGGUUUCUAGGAUUGACGUAAUGAUUAAUAGGGAUAGUUGGGGGCAUUAGUAUUCAAUUGUCAGAGGUGAAAUUCUUGGAUUUAUUGAAGACUAACUACUGCGAAAGCAUUUGCCAAGGAUGUUUUCAUUAAUCAAGAACGAAAGUUAGGGGAUCGAAGACGAUCAGAUACCGUCGUAGUCUUAACCAUAAACUAUGCCGACUAGGGAUCGGAUGAUGUUAAUUUUUUAAUGACUCAUUCGGCGCCUUACG